ACGCUUCUCCUAAAGAUUAAGCCAUGCAUGUCUUCGAAUAAGAGGAAGCAAUUCUCUCUGAAUCUGCGAACGGCUCCGCAAACCAGUUGUAAGCUACAGCAAGCUCGCUGACUCGCCCUCACGGGUGGGGAAGCAAUAGGGAUAACCCUGGUAAUUCUGAGGCUAAUACCUUCACGUAACAACCUGCUCUAGCCUCACGGCAGUGAGUGGGGGGCGUGUCAACGGUUCGCAACUAUAUUACCGGGACGGGAGACACGCCAGGACCGCGUCAAAAACGAUGCUGUAUUUCGGUGCAGUCUCGAGCGGCACUUGCGUUGCGCUUCUGACCUAUCAACUAGACGGCAGGGUAAGGGCCAUGCUGUGGUGACAACGGGUACAGAGGAUCAGGGUUCGAUCCUGGAGAGUGGGCCUGAGAGAUUGCUCAUACUUCUAAGGAAGGCAGCAGGCGCGCAACGUUCCCAUUGGGCAAUGCCCGAGGGCGUUAGGGGAAAUAUGAAUGAUUGCCCUAUGGGUGAUCAAUUCAAAUGGGUCUGUUGUAAAUAGGCUC
rnacentral:rRNA from 1 species